rnacentral:rRNA from 1 species
GACGAACGCUGGCGGCGUGCCUAAUACAUGCAAGUAGAACGCUGAAGAGAGGAGCUUGCUCUUCUUGGAUGAGUUGCGAACGGGUGAGUAACGCGUAGGUAACCUGCCUUGUAGCGGGGGAUAACUAUUGGAAACGAUAGCUAAUACCGCAUAACAAUGGAUGACACAUGUCAUUUAUUUGAAAGGGGCAAUUGCUCCACUACAAGAUGGACCUGCGUUGUAUUAGCUAGUAGGUGAGGUAAUGGCUCACCUAGGCGACGAUACAUAGCCGACCUGAGAGGGUGAUAGGCCACACUGGGACUGAGACACGGCCCAGACUCCUACGGGAGGCAGCAGUAGGGAAUCUUCGGCAAUGGGGGCAACCCUGACCGAGCAACGCCGCGUGAGUGAAGAAGGUUUUCGGAUCGUAAAGCUCUGUUGUAAGUCAAGAACGGGUGUGAGAGUGGAAAGUUCACACUGUGACGGUAGCUGACCAGAAAGGGACGGCCAACUACGUG